rnacentral:rRNA from 1 species
UUUAACAUGAAGAGUUUGAUCCUGGCUCAGGAUGAACGCUAGCGGCAGGCUUAACACAUGCAAGCCGAGGGGCAGCACGGUAGCAAUACUGGUGGCGACCGGCGCACGGGUGAGUAACGCGUAUGCAAUCUACCUCUAACUGGGGGAUAGCUCAGAGAAAUCUGAAUUAAUACCCCAUAAUAUUCCUGAGAGGCAUCUUUCGGGUCUUAAAGCUCCGGCGGUUAGAGAUGAGCAUGCGUGUCAUUAGCUAGUUGGUAAGGUAACGGCUUACCAAGGCUACGAUGACUAGGGGGUCUGAGAGGAUGAUCC